GCCAUGGUGCCAUGGUAGGACAUCCAGGUUGUCUCCCAGGUAUCCGCGGUUCGAACCCCAGCUAUGGCG
rnacentral:tRNA from 1 species